rnacentral:rRNA from 1 species
CCAGACUCCUACGGGAGGCAGCAGUGAGGAAUAUUGGUCAAUGGGCGCGAGCCUGAACCAGCCAAGUCGCGUGAGGGAAGACGGUCCUAUGGAUUGUAAACCUCUUUUGCCGGGGAGCAACGGGCGCCACGUGUGGCGCCACUGAGAGUACCCGGAGAAAAAGCAUCGGCUAACUCCGUGCCAGCAGCCGCGGUAAUACGGAGGAUGCGAGCGUUAUCCGGAUUUAUUGGGUUUAAAGGGUGCGCGGGCGGAAUGUCAAGUCAGCGGUAAAAUUUCGGGGCUCAACCCCGUCGUGCCGUUGAAACUGGCGUUCUUGAGUGAGCGAGAAGUAUGCGGAAUGCGUGGUGUAGCGGUGAAAUGCAUAGAUAUCACGCAGAACUCCGAUUGCGAAGGCAGCAUACCGGCGCUCAACUGACGCUCAUGCACGAAAGCGUGGGUAUCGAACAGGAUUAGAUACCCGAGUAAG